UACGUAGGGGGCGAGCGUUGUCCGGAUUUAUUGGGCGUAAAAGGCUUGUAGGUGGCCACGUCAAGUCGGAUGUGAAAUCUCCCGGCUCAACUGGGAGGGGUCAUUCGAUACUGGCGGGCUCGAGGCCGGUAGGGGGAAGCGGAAUUCCCGGUGUAGUGGUGGAAUGCGUAGAUAUCGGGAGGAACACCUGCGGCGAAGGCGGGUUGCUGGGCUGACACUGACGCUGAGGCGCGAAAGCUAGGGGAGCGAACGGG
rnacentral:rRNA from 1 species